GAUGAACGCUGGCGGUAUGCUUAACACAUGCAAGUCGAACGGACUCUUCGGAGUUAGUGGCGGACGGGUGAGUAACGCGUGAGAAUCUGGCUUUGGGUUCGGGACAACCACUGGAAACGGUGGCUAAUACCGGAUGUGCCGAGAGGUAAAAGAGAAAUUGCCUGAAGAUGAGCUCGCGUCUGAUUAGCUAGUUGGUGAGGUAAAGGCUCACCAAGGCAGCGAUCAGUAGCCGGUCUGAGAGGAUGACCAGCCACACUGGGACUGAGACACGGCCCAGACUCCUACGGGAGGCAGCAGUGGGGAAUUUUCCGCAAUGGGCGAAAGCCUGACGGAGCAAUACCGCGUGAGGGAAGAAGGCUCUUGGGUUGUAAACCUCUUUUCUUAGGGAAGAACAAAAUGACGGUACCUAAGGAAUCAGCAUCGGCUAACUCCGUG
rnacentral:rRNA from 1 species